rnacentral:rRNA from 1 species
UGCAGUCGUACCAGUGAGCAGCGCAGCAGCUUGCUGCUUUGCUGACGAGUGGCGGACGGGUGAGUAAUGUCUGGGAAACUGCCUGAUGGAGGGGGAUAACUACUGGAAACGGUAGCUAAUACCGCAUAACGUCGCAAGACCAAAGAGGGGGACCUUCGGGCCUCUUGCCAUCGGAUGUGCCCAGAUGGGAUUAGCUAGUAGGUGGGGUAACGGCUCACCUAGGCGACGAUCCCUAGCUGGUCUGAGAGGAUGACCAGCCACACUGGAACUGAGACACGGUCCAGACUCCUACGGGAGGCAGCAGUGGGGAAUAUUGCACAAUGGGCGCAAGCCUGAUGCAGCCAUGCCGCGUGUAUGAAGAAGGCCUUCGGGUUGUAAAGUACUUUCAGCGGGGAGGAAGGGAGUAAAGUUAAUACCUUUGCUCAUUGACGUUACCCGCAGAAGAAGCACCGGCUAACUCCGUGCCAGCAGCCGCGGUAAUACGGAGGGGUGCAAGCGUUAAUCGGAAUUACUGGGCGUAAAGCGCACGCAGGCGGUUUGUUAAGUCAGAUGUGAAAUCCCCGGGCUCAACCUGGGAACUGCAUCUGAUACUGGCAAGCUUGAGUCUCGUAGAGGGGGGUAGAAUUCCAGGUGUAGCGGUGAAAUGCGUAGAGAUCUGGAGGAAUACCGGUGGCGAAGGCGGCCCCCUGGACGAAGACUGACGCUCAGGUGCGAAAGCGUGGGGAGCAAACAGGAUUAGAUACCCUGGUAGUCCACGCCGUAAACGAUGUCGACUUGGAGGUUGUGCCCUUUGAGGCGUGGCUUCCGGAGCUAACGCGUUAAGUCGACCGCCUGGGGGAGUACGGCCGCAAGGUUAAAACUCAAAUGAAUUGACGGGGGCCCGCACAAGCGGUGGAGCAUGUGGUUUAAUUCGAUGCAACGCGAAGAACCUUACCUGGUCUUGACAUCCACGGAAGUUUUCAGAGAUGAGAAUGUGCCUUCGGGAACCGUGAGACAGGUGCUGCAUGGCUGUCGUCAGCUCGUGUUGUGAAAUGUUGGGUUAAGUCCCGCAACGAGCGCAACCCUUAUCCUUUGUUGCCAGCGGUCCGGCCGGGAACUCAAAGGAGACUGCCAGUGAUAAACUGGAGGAAGGUGGGGAUGACGUCAAGUCAUCAUGGCCCUUACGACCAGGGCUACACACGUGCUACAAUGGCGCAUACAAAGAGAAGCGACCUCGCGAGAGCAAGCGGACCUCAUAAAGUGCGUCGUAGUCCGGAUUGGAGUCUGCAACUCGACUCCAUGAAGUCGGAAUCGCUAGUAAUCGUGGAUCAGAAUGCCACGGUGAAUACGUUCCCGGGCCUUGUACACACCGCCCGUCACACCAUGGGAGUGGGUUGCAAAAGAAGUAGUGUGAGC